GGGGAAUAUUGGACAAUGGGGGAAACCCUGAUCCAGCAAUGCCGCGUGAGUGAAGAAGGCCUUAGGGUUGUAAAGCUCUUUCGGCGGGGACGAUGGUGACGGUACCCGCAGAAGAAGCCCCGGCUAACUUCGUGCCAGCAGCCGCGGUAAUACGAAGGGGGCUAGCGUUGUUCGGAAUCACUGGGCGUAAAGGGCGCGUAGGCGGCGCGACAAGUCAGGCGUGAAAGCCCCGGGCUCAACCCGGGAAUUGCGCUUGAUACUGUCGUGCUCGAGGCCGGGAGAGGAUGGCGGAAUUCCCAGUGUAGAGGUGAAAUUCGUAGAUAUUGGGAAGAACACCGGUGGCGAAGGCGGCCAUCUGGACCGGUUCUGACGCUGAGGCGCGAAAGCGUGGGGAGCAAA
rnacentral:rRNA from 1 species